CCUGGGGAAAGGGAGGAGCCCAAUCCCAGAAGGUAUAAAGGCUCUGGGAGCAGCAGCACCUGGUUUGUAUCUCUGACUUAAAAUCAGGAUGGGUAAAGAGCCUGAUGGAGAAAAGGAGUCUUAAUGAGAACAGUCUACAGGUGCAGAGUUCGACCUGGCUGUUAUUUGUGGACUCUGGAGUCUUUCCUCAGGCCACCCAGCUGCUUUGCAGUCUUGAGCUGGCACCUCCACUGUGCAGGACUUGUGCCAUUUAGGCGAGCACCAGCAUAUCCCGCCCACCUUCCCCCUCUCACCCUGGAACCAGAGGUGCUGACAUAGGACCAUGGCACGACAGAGAGGCUAUUCCUAUGUAAUUCACCAUUGCACACAGACCAGAAAAUAGGUUCAAAGUGUAUGCAACAUUUUAUUGAAAAAAUAUGAAUGUUCUGUACAUAAAGUACAACUUAAUGGGCUUAAUAAAAUCUCGAGAGACUUA